rnacentral:lncRNA from 1 species
GUCGAACCCACGCCCACCCGGAACUCACGCUGGCCCGCGAGCGCCGCGCGCAGCCCUGGUUCCCGCCCGCGGCUCUCUCUCCACACAUCCCCGCAAGCUGAGGGAGCCAGCUCCGGCCUUGGCCAGCCCAGAAAAGGGCUCCCACAGUGCAGGGGCGGGCUGAAGGGCUCCUCAAGUGCCGCCAAAGUGGGAGCCCAGGCAGAGGAGGCGCCGAGAGCGAGCGAGGGCUGUGAGGACUGCCAGCACGCUGUCACCUCUCAGUCAGAGCCCACAGAUAAUAGCAACACACUAAGGUCCUCAAGGUACAUCGUUGGGAUCAAGCAACUUUGAUCCCAAGGAGAAGAAUAAAAACAAGAGGGACGACUGGGCCAAGGUGCCAUGUGAAGUGACCUGUGAGGAUCAACCCAGUGAAGAUGCUUGAGGAAGACAUGCUAGAGCAAAAACUACAACUCUGGUCCUCUUGGAUAUUUUAGAUAAGGACUUUACCCACAUAAAGAAGGUGUUGCCCUGGGGACUGGCUGAGAGAAAUUACAGACUGUUACUCACUUCAAAAGAAACGGACUGCUACAGUGGUACUUACGUCACCAGAAAGAAACACUUCCACAAAGAAUUUGAUUUGAUGGCAUCAUGUGGACAUAGAACUCUCAUAGUAAUGACCCAACCUGUGUUUCCAGUCAUCCUGAUGAACUCUCAACAAAAUCAGAUUGUUAUACUGUUGUUCUCACUUUACACCGAUAUUUUCUCUUGCUCCUAAAAAAAGUAUCUGGUAUUAAAUAGAAUUCUGUAUCUUAAAAAACUUGCCAUUGAGAAAAAUGAGAAGUAACUGUACAUUUUAAUACUGAAGGUUUUAAUAAAAAAAGCAGUGUGAAC